rnacentral:rRNA from 1 species
UACGGAGGGUGCAAGCGUUGUCCGGAAUCACUGGGCGUAAAGGGCGCGUAGGCGGCUCAUGAAGGCUGUGGUGAAAGUCCGGGGCUCAACCUCGGAUCGGCCGUGGCGACUCGUGGGCUGGAGCACUGUAGAGGCGGGUGGAAUUCCGGGUGUAGCGGUGGAAUGCGUAGAGAUCCGGAGGAAGACCGGUGGCGAAGGCGGCCUGCUGGGCAGUUGCUGACACUGAGGCGCGACAGCGUGGGGAGCAAACAGGG